CAAAAUAUCAACAUUGAAAGCCCUUUCUUUUCUCCACUGUUUCGGCCAGCCAAGGGGAGAUCCAACCCCAUUUUUUUUUCUUCCCAAAAAUUAUUUCCUUGGUGUUAACCCACUAUAUUGAGGUCCCUAAGUAGCGUGGAAGAGUUGUUCGGGUCAUCCAACCAUUAGUUGUACCCAUUUGCAAACCCUAACUAUUUGGUGGAUUGAAGAAGAAAGACCUUGGGGAGCCCGAGGGGUAAAUUUGGAGUAGCUUUAGAUUGGCUAGCUUGGAAGUGCGUUCGAGGUACAGACGCACAGUUCGGUGACCCCCCAGUGUAGGAUACCCCUUUUGCUGUUGGAGUGCUCCCCUCCCUUCAGAGCACAUCUUUUGGUAUACACUUUUGUUCGCUAUGUUGUAUAUAUUCGUUCAUGGGUACGGCGGGGCCCUGUUCCGCCAUAUGAUUUGUUUGGUCUGUUUAGAGGUCUGUAGAAUUAUUUGUGGGUGUGUGUGCCUACUUCUGUACAGUUGUGUCCAUAUGAUCUUCUUCGUCAUGGCAGCCUUGUCGGCAUGCAUUUUGUAUAUGUUUUUGGGUCGUUGUGCCAUUUGAUAGCCUUGUCGGCUCGCACAUGUAUAUGUUGUGUUUGGGCGAUCCCAUUCGCCGCGGCGGCCGGUCCGCAUAUGUUUACACGUUACUUUGUUAGCCCUGUGUGGCCUUUGUUGGUAUUUGCUGUGUACAGGGUUAUUUUGGAUAGUCCGAAAAACAAAGGAAACUCUGCCGAAAUUUUUCUGGAAAUUGUCUAAAUUUGAAAUAUAGCCUUGAUGGCUUCUGUUAUAUACU